rnacentral:rRNA from 1 species
CAGUCGCCGCGGUAAUACGUAGGUCCCGAGCGUUGUCCGGAUUUAUUGGGCGUAAAGCGAGCGCAGGCGGUUAGAUAAGUCUGAAGUUAAAGGCUGUGGCUUAACCAUAGUACGCUUUGGAAACUGUUUAACUUGAGUGCAAGAGGGGAGAGUGGAAUUCCAUGUGUAGCGGUGAAAUGCGUAGAUAUAUGGAGGAACACCGGUGGCGAAAGCGGCUCUCUGGCUUGUAACUGACGCUGAGGCUCGAAAGCGUGGGGAGCAAACAGGAUUAGAUACCCCCGUAGUCCCUGUCUCUAAUACC